GUCACUGGGGUGGAAUUUGAGGUUUCAGAGGCUUAAACUGGGCCCAGUGUCUCUCUUUCUUCCUGCUGCCUGAGGAUCCAGAUUCAGAUGUACAACUCUUGGCUCCUUCUCCAGCACCAUGUCUGUUUGCAAACGGCCAUGCUUCCUGCCAUAAUGACAAUGGUUUGAACCUCGGAACUGCUAGCGCUGUGCAUGAUUCUGCUGAUUGACUAUGGCUGCAAUGAUAUACCCUAGCCUUCAGGAGACAUUGUCAAUUUCCAUUAGUUCUCUAGGAGCUCAGUCAGGUUACCAAGGGAACAAGCUCCAGCCAAUCUGCCAGAACCUGAAUGUUACAUGGAAUACAGGAGGGAUCCAGUAAAUACUCAGAAUGUCACCUGAUUGAAAUCCACAAAUCUAUGCUUCUUUCUCCUUGGAACCCUUGCAGCUCAUCACUACCCUUUUCAUCACUCAUGGACAUGAAGCAAGCAUGUAGACCUCUCAACACCAACCUCUUUCCUGCAAGAAUUGCCCCCUGAUUGUGAGAGAGAUUAUUCGUGGGGAAUUGGCACGGUGGCUCUAUAACUUUCUUUUGUUCUUCACCAGUGAUCUGGAAGGUUUCCAGAGAAAAGUCUCUUUCUUUCCACCUCGGUGAAUUCAAGCAGGGUUGUUGCUGCCCUUCUUGCCUGGAAGACAUUGUCACAGAAUUUUGGAAGAGUCCUGCUUGCUCCACCACAAGAGCUUGUCCAGAUGGACCCAGAGCACCUCCAUCUCCCUUGGGCCCUCAUCUCCCUGGCACACCAGGCCCAAGCUGAAGGUAUUCUCAAGGGCAGUCUCUCUUCUUUCUGGUGGUGAAGGUAGAAUCCUCUACCCAGAACACAGGGCACACAGGGCACAGUCUGCGUGUUGUUUUCUUUGCAGUUGCAGCCUCUUGCUGUUUCUCUAGCUCUCCAGUGCCAGACAGGGGCUUCCACUCCUCGUUCCCACUGCUUGGAAAGCAUCUGGAGCCUUUGCUUCUCUCUAGCUUCACUAGACUGCUUCGCUCAUCCCAUCCCACCCUCUCCUCCUCCCUAUCUAAACUUUGCCCCUCUCCAUCUGACCUCUAUUCUUAGAUGAUGUAUGUACAGUAGGUGUCCCUUAGCCAUUGAGAUCCCACACAGUAAGUUGUGUAAAGAAAGUAGGAGCAGAGAUAGUUUCUAAGUGACUCCAAAUUUAACGUGGGAUGUUGUUUCAUUUUUUAAAAGAGACUAAGAAUAUAGAUCAAUUAAUGAGAUCAGUGGGAGCAGAUAAAUCAAGGUACAGUAAAUCGUAUAAAAGCUUGAUAGGCAGAGCCAAAGCUGGGAGUUCACACAGUUAAGAUCUAUUUGAUCCCUGGGGAUGGCGACAGACAAGUUUUGUUGCAGACAAGUGUUUAUUGCAGGUGGAUCUUAUUUUUGCCAUAAUUAUGUAAAACCCAAUAGAGUUCAUGAGGAGAAUGGACAUAGAACCCAAGAGAAGCCUGCCAUGGUAGCCAGAGGCCGACUGAGCAGAGACACUGCGGCUUACCUGCUAGUAGAGCUGGAACCAUAUGCAGAAACAGAUGUCACUGAGUGAUGAGGCUGUCAAGCCCACUCUAGGCUGUUUGUGAAUUUAUGUCAUCCCAGAAAAUAAGAGAAUCUUUUCACCAAGACCACAGAUAGUGCUGACAAUCUCAAACCACGGGGUCUUGUAAAUAGGACAUGCUGAUUCAGCUAAAUUAAAGUGUUGUCUGUGGAGAAACCUAGGCUACACAUUAGACAGGUCAGAGCUCCACCCAAUUCUGAAUUUACCUGCUGGACACCUCAGAUGGUGCCUGACUUCUCUGGACACAGUCUCUUCAAAUGAAGUUGGAUUGCUAAAGCCUAUCCCACAGGGUUGUGAUUUUUCAUGGGAAGAGAUAGACAUAAUACCUGGGUAUACUAGCUUAUGGUAGCACUUAUCCUAGCUGUACAGGAGGGAAGGAGAGAGAGAGAGAGAGAGAGAGAGAGAGAGAGAGAGAGAGAGAGAGAGAGAACAGAUCCAGGUAAAAUAUCUGAACAGGUUAAAAGUCUCCAGAAACUAGAAGAUGACAUGAAUGUUAUGUGAUUUCAAUAAAUUUACUUAGUAACAUGAUCAUGCACUAUAUAAAAUUUUGAUCAACAAAAUGGGCCACAUUUAUGCAGGUCAUCCCAUAAAAUUGUAUCAUCUAGUAACAUCUUAAUUUUAUAAAUAUUAUUUAUCUGUUAUUUGUACAAAAAAGAAGUUAUACAAUGUCUCAUUUUUAAUAAUUAAGCAAUGUACCACUGUACUGUGCCUUAGGUUUACACUGGUGCAAUGGACACAAACAUCACAGGUUUUUUUUUUUCCCCUCAGAAAACUUGAGGGCUGUUGAAAGAAAGGCACAGGCAGAGGCUAGCAGCCCAGUUGGUGAAUUGGUGUAACUGACGAGGGGGGUAGAGAAGACAGGUAGCAACCAGGCUGAGCCGGGAUUCCAAACAAUAUUUGUGAGUGAGCUGUCACCCAUGAGACUGUGGAAGGACAAGGGGACAGGGCCCACAGGCCAGGGGGUGGGGAGACUAUGCAGUCUUCCUAUCCCAGGAAGAGAAGUUAGCUCCCUAAGGCAGGCUGGGCAGAUGAUGACUUACAAGUGCUUCAUGCUCGCUAUUUGCUGACAGACCAUGGACAACUUCCUUAUAAGUAAAAACAGUAGAAAAGGGUAAGUAGAUUGAGCAAUUUCUCAGCCAAAAGAGCUUUCCCAGGCUUGCAUUUCCCUAUGGCUUGUGCAUCCAAUGGUUGCUUCUUUACCAUUUUUCUCUCGGAGGUUAAAUUUAUUUCUGGUCCUUUGAUCCUACUCAACCUAUUCUUCUUGGCUUAGAGUGGAGGCAAUUCCUCCUCCUCAAGCCAUCCUCUGCCUUCUCUGGGGUGAUGGCUAAGUAGGUUGGGGUGUCCAUUUAUUAGUUCACGACUUCUCUUUGUUGCACUAGUUCCAGUGGGCCAGGAUCCACAGCUUGGGGGCAGGGGACAUUGCAGGGAGAUUGAGGAAUCUUUCUGAAGGUAAGAUGCAAGCACUUCCUAGGGCAGCAGCACCUCCUAGAGGACAUUGACCUUGACCGACUUUCUGUUUCAGGAAGCUAGGAAAUGCAGGGGUGACCCCUCCCCACACUCCAAGGACAGAAAACUCCCUCUUUGAGCCUUCAUCCAGCAGCUGAUGGAAGCAGAAGCAGACACUCACAGCUAAACACUGAACUGAACUCCUGAAAUCCAGUUGCAGAGAGAGAGAGAGAGCAGUGAUGAGCAAAGGGGUCAAGACCAGGCUGGAGAAACUCACAGAAACAGCUGACCUGAACAAGGUGGGGGGCUCCUGGACUACAGACUGAUAGCUGGGAAACCAGCAUAGGACUGAUCUAGACCCCAUGAAUGUGGGUGUUUUGAGGUCUAGACAACCUAGGGGGCCACUGGUAGUGGAUCAGUAUUUACCCCUAGUACAUGAAUGAACUUUGGGAGCCUUCUCCACAUAGAGGGCUAGACACAUGGGAGAGGGUCUAGGCCCUGCUCCAAAUGGUGACAGACUUUGAAGAUCCCCCAUGGAAUGCCUCACCCUCCCUGGGGAGCAGAAAGGGAGUGGGAUAGGGGGUCGGUUUGGGGGAGCAGGAGAGGAGGGGAAGGAGAGGGAACUGGGAUUGACAUGUAAAACAAGCUUGUUUCUAAUUUCAAUUUUAAAAAAGAAAGAGAAAAAAAUUGCCCUCUUUCCUGCUGUCAGUCAUUUAUUUAUAUUCUCAAGAUUCUGUGUCCUUAAAACUUGCUCUGCUUGUUGGUUUCAGGUGACUCAUCCUUGCCCAGGGCAGACUCUGCUCCUGCCCCAGUCACCUGUCAGCCCACUAAUUGAUACAUUAUUCUUUUUCCCAUGGAUAGUUGUUGAAUUUGAGUCUUAUGCUUAUAUCUUUUUUCACAUUUUUAAAGAGCUUAAUUGUAUGUGGAUGAGUGCUUUGCCUGCAUGUGUGCUUGUAUGUAUGUGCACCACAUAUGUGCCUGCUGCCCAUGCAGGUCAGAAGACGGAGUAAGACCCCCUGGAACUCGAGUUAUAAGCAACCAUGGGGGUGCUAGGAACUGAAUGUAUACUGAGCCAUCUCUCCAGCCCAGCGUUGGUAUUUUUUUGUUUGUUUUCUUCAUUUAGUUAUGUUCCUGUCUUCUCUUCAUCCUUGGCUCUGCCAAUGCACCCUUCAUCUUGAGGUAGACUCCUGGCUUCUCAACUCCUUCCCUCCAGUGAUUUGGAAGGACUCAGCAUUCUCCUGGGUAGAAGAGACAACUAGACAAGCCCUUCUUUUCUCCUUUUCUCCCUGUCAGAUGCUUCCUUCCAGAACUGAGGGAGCUGAGCCCCUGGAGAGCUGCCUGGGCUCUAGGAGUGGGGGGGAAAGGUGCUGUCCACAGAGUGGCCCAGCAGGGGCUCAAGAAGCUGAAAGUAAACAAGUCAAAGGAUGACAAUAAGAAAUUGUCACUGUAGGGAACUCUUUGACACCAUCUCUCUGGGCUCCUUUCUUCUAGGGUGGCCUCUGACAGCCCUCCUCCAACCUGCUGUCCUCUGGUAGAGGUAGGCAGCAUCCAGCAGCAAGGCACACUUCACUCUUGUCUGACAAAGGCUGGUCCAGACUCGAUUCUCUUAUCAUCCCAGCAGCCAGGUCCUGCCAUGUUGGAGAACAAUAACAGAUUCAGCCUUCCGUGUUCAUCAUUACCCUGCACCUUUAAUCAGGAGUGUUAUCCGCAGCUCCUGCCCGGGCCUCAUUUAGAUUUCUUGUUUGUAGCAAUAAUACCCUUUUAAUAUGCUAAAUGAGCGAGCAAAUGAGCCUUCCUCCACUUGCGAGGUUUUUAAAAACAUCCCUUCUUUAGUGGAUGAAGGUCAUUCUUUUGGCAGAUUAAUACUUAACUAGGAGGCACUGUUUAUUGUCUGGGGUCACUUCGGCGGCUGUCACAGCAUAUUAAAGAGCGCAGGAUUGCCCCUGCCAGAACAAUGCAGCUAGGUGGGGGACACAGGAGGGGCAACCACUCACCCGGUUCCCUUCCUUGGCUCUCAUUUAAACUCUGCAGCCGUUAUUAAUACUUUAAUUUGUAGUGCAUUAAUGAAUUCUAAUCCCCAUUAUGUGUUGAGCAAAUGGGCCUUCAACAGGCUCUGUGCAACCCAAGUGGGUCCUGGCUGCAGGUUAGAG
rnacentral:lncRNA from 1 species